UGCCGGCUUUCCACCAGCCGGCGCGAAUACCGAAGAGGCUUGUCCUUCAUUGCCAGGUGUGCGGGCGGGAGCUUUCCCAACCAAUCCACGGCAGCACAGUCUGGUUUGAGUCCAGGUUAUGACCGCGUCUCCAUCGUGCGGCAUGACCGAAGCGCUCAC
rfam:Afipia sp. 64-13 SCNpilot_expt_1000_bf_scaffold_515, whole genome shotgun sequence.